GAUGAACGCUAGCGGCAGGCCUAACACAUGCAAGUCGAGGGAUAAGCCUUCGGGCUAAUACCGGCGCAAGGGUGCGUAACGCGUAUACUAUCUGCUUUUUAUCCGGGGGUUAGCCCGAAGAAAUUUGGUUUAAUACACUAUGGUUUAAGAGCACGGACUUGUGCCCUUAUUUAAGCUACUGAGGUAAAAGAUGAGUUUGCGUUCUAUUAGUUAGUUGGAGAGGUAACGGCUUCCCAAGGCGACGAUAGAUAGGGGUUCUGAGAGGGAUGUCCCCCAGACUGGUACUGGGAUACGGACCAGACGGCUACGGGAGGCAGCAGUGAGGAAGAUUGGACAAUGGUCGGAAGACUGAUCCAGCCAGGCCGCGUGCAGGAUGACGGCCUUAUGAGUUGUAAACUGCUUUUGUAAGGGAAGAAUAAGGAGUACGUGUACUUUAAUGACGGUACCUUACGAAUAAGCAACGGCUAACUCCGUG
rnacentral:rRNA from 1 species